GACGAACGCUGGCGGCGUGCUUAACACAUGCAAGUCGAACGGAAAGGCCCUGCUUGCAGGGUACUUGAGUGGCGAACGGGUGAGUAACACGUGGGUGAUCUGCCCUGCACUUCGGGAUAAGCCUGGGAAACUGGGUCUAAUACCGGAUAGGAGCCAUUUUUAGUGUGAUGGUUGGAAAGUUUUUUCGGUGUAGGAUGAGCUCGCGGCCUAUCAGCUUGUUGGUGGGGUAAUGGCCUACCAAGGCGGCGACGGGUAGCCGGCCUGAGAGGGUGGACGGCCACAUUGGGACUGAGAUACGGCCCAGACUCCUACGGGAGGCAGCAGUGGGGAAUAUUGCACAAUGGGCGCAAGCCUGAUGCAGCGACGCCGCGGGGGGGAUGACGGCCUUAGGGUUGUAAACUCCUUUCGCUAGGGACGAAGCUUUUUGUGACGGUACCUAGAUAAGAAGCACCGGCUAACUACGUG
rnacentral:rRNA from 1 species